UANAGGAAGUAAAAGUCGUAACAAGGUUUCCGUAGGUGAAACCUGCGGAAGGAUCCCUAAACAGAAUCGUACGGUUGUGCUGGUUCUUACAGGUGCACGCCGUUACUUCUCUAUAUUCACCCCAUGUGCACCUUUGCGUCGCCGGUCCCUCCAGCUUCGCCUUAUUUACACGAAAUCUUUGUAUCGAAUGUCUUGUUGGAACAAUAAUAAAAAUACAACUAUCAACAACGGAUCUCUUGGCAUCCCACUCGAUGAAGAACGCAGCGAAUUGCGAUAAGUAAUGUGAAUUGCAGAAUUCAGUGAAUCAUCGAAUCUUUGAACGCACCUUGCACCUUUCAGUCUUCUGGAAGGUAUGCCCGGUUGAGUAUUAUGAUCACCUCAAACCUCUGGUUUUCUUAUUGCAAAGGCUAAUGCUUUGACGAAAGCGCCCAUCGGGGUGCUGGGAGUUGUUGCUUGGCUUGGAGAACCGAGAGGUCUUGGACUUGAGUGUAUUGUUGGUUCCACUUGGAUCAACCCACUCGAAAUGCAUUAGCUGGCGACCCGCUUCAACGGUUACCACUUGGCGUAGUAAGUCUUAUUCGUCAAGGACACCUUGCACCUUCACGGGAGCGGGGUGGCCGUUGUGCCGCGUCUUGAUAGCCGCUUCUAAUCGUCUCUGGACAAUACACGAACUCUUUAAUCUCAACUCGGGUAGGACUACCCGCUGAACUUAAGCAUAUCAAUAAGCGGAGGAAAAGAAACUAACAAGGNUCCC
rnacentral:rRNA from 1 species